GGUCGUGUGGCUCAGUGGUUAAGGCAUCUGCUUUACAGAGACUCACACGAGUCAUUCAAAGACGCAGAGGAUCGCAGGUUCGAUCCCUGCCACGAUCA